AGAGUUUGAUCAUGGCUCAGGAUGAACGCUAGCGGGAGGCUUAACACAUGCAAGUCGUACGGUAAGGCCCCUUCGGGGGCACACGAGUGGCGCACGGGUGAGUAACGCGUAUGCAACCUGCCCUUUACAGGGGGAUAGCCCAUGGAAACGUGGAUUAAUACCCCAUUGUCCGUUAAAGCCGCAUGGUUUUAACGGUAAAGAUUUAUCGGUAAAGGAUGGGCAUGCGUGGCAUUAGCUGGUUGGCGGGGUAACGGCCCACCAAGGCUACGAUGCCUAGGGGUUCUGAGAGGAUGAUCCCCCACACUGGUACUGAGACACGGACCAGACUCCUACGGGAGGCAGCAGUGAGGAAUAUUGGUCAAUGGGCGCGAGCCUGAACCAGCCAUCCCGCGUGAAGGAAGACGGCCCUAUGGGUUGUAAACUUCUUUUCUGUUCCAAGAAUAAGCACGACGUGUCGUGUGAUGACGGUAGGACAGGAAUAAGCAUCGGCUAACUCCGUGCCAGCAGCCGCGGUAAUACGGAGGAUGCGAGCGUUAUCCGGAUUUAUUGGGUUUAAAGGGUGCGUAGGCGGCCUGUUAAGUCAGUGGUGAAAUCCUGCGGCUCAACCGUAGAACUGCCAUUGAUACUGACAGGCUUGAAUUCAGUUGAGGUAAGCGGAAUGUGCAGUGUAGCGGUGAAAUGCUUAGAUAUUGCACAGAACACCGAUUGCGAAGGCAGCUUACCAAACUGCGAUUGACGCUGAUGCACGAAAGCGUGGGGGAGCGAACAGGAUUAGAUACCCUGGUAGUCCACGCUGUAAACGAUGUUCACUAGCUGUUUGCGAUAUAUUGUAAGCGGCAAAGCGAAAGCAUUAAGUGAACCACCUGGGGAGUACGUCGGCAACGGUGAAACUCAAAGGAAUUGACGGGGGCCCGCACAAGCGGAGGAACAUGUGGUUUAAUUCGAUGAUACGCGAGGAACCUUACCUGGGCUUAAAUGUAGAGUGCAUGUGGUGGAAACACCCUUCCCUUCGGGGCUCUUUACAAGGUGCUGCAUGGUUGUCGUCAGCUCGUGCCGUGAGGUGUCGGGUUAAGUCCCAUAACGAGCGCAACCCUUACCGUUAGUUACCAUCAGGUUAAGCUGGGGACUCUAGCGGGACUGCCACCGUAAGGUGAGAGGAAGGUGGGGAUGACGUCAAAUCAGCACGGCCCUUAUGUCCAGGGCUACACACGUGUUACAAUGGCCGGUACAAAGGGCAGCUACACUGCGAAGUGAUGCUAAUCUCGAAAGCCGGUCCCAGUUCGGAUCGGAGUCUGCAACCCGACUCCGUGAAGUUGGAUUCGCUAGUAAUCGCGCAUCAGCCAUGGCGCGGUGAAUACGUUCCCGGGCCUUGUACACACCGCCCGUCAAACCAUGGAAGCUGGGGGUACCUGAAGUCUGUCACCGCAAGGAGCGGCCUAGGGUAAAACCGGUGACUGGGGUUAAGUCGUAACAAGGUA
rnacentral:rRNA from 1 species